GGGUGAGCCGCGGCUGCUCCCUCCCUUCCCCUGAGCCAGGUUUUAAUCCUCCAGCUCACUGCAAAGCCAGAUAAAGUUGGGAUGGAAACUUCAGGCUCUUUGAUAGCUAUUAAUGGAGCAGAUUUACCAGGGUUGUACAGGUGGAAAUGUCCCUGAAGGGCAAGGCCUCACAAUGAUUAGCACGGGGUCUCUGCUUCAAGCACUGGGCAGGAAGGGAAUGGAGAUCGGGACAUCAGCCCUGUGACCACCAAAUUCUGAUACAGAGCAGCAAUCCCCAGUAAGGACAAACACUUGCUGGCAGUGCAGCAGCUGUCAGCAUCAAGAAGUACCAGACCCAACUAAAAUGCAAUUCUGCUUUGCUCAAAAAAGCAACUACAACCACAUUUAUGCUUUCUAAUAAAUAUAUGCCAGCUACUUAAUGCAGCCACAGUCCUCA